UAGCGUAGGGGGCAAGGCGUUUGUCCGGGAUUUAUUGGGCGUAAAGAGCGUGUAGGCGGCCAGGUAGGUCAGCUGAUGAAAACUCGAGGCUCAACCUCGAGCUGUCGGCUGAAACCAUCUGGCUAGAGUCCGGAAGAGGAGAAUGGAAUUCCCGGUGUAGCGGUGAAAUGCGCAGAUAUCGGGAAGAACACCCGUGGCGAAGGCGGUUCUCUGGGACGGUACUGACGCUGAGGCGACGAAGACGUGGGGGAGCAAACGGGAUUAGAACCUACCUAGUCAGUCCAAGCCAUCUCGUG
rnacentral:rRNA from 1 species